rnacentral:lncRNA from 1 species
CCUGCUUUCUGUGGAGGGGAAGAGUGGGAGGAAGUCUUGGCUGAGGAGGACAGGGAGAGGAGGAACCCGGCAGCCAACCCACCUUCUGCACCAGGAGGUGCUCUUGUACGUAGGCGGCCACCGCAUCCCAGACGGCAACUCGCUCUGGAGGGCAAAGGAAAAGCGGGUCACACUCUGCACCUGCCGCUUCCCGGCAGCCCUCCCGCUGCCAGGCGGGAGUGAGGUGGCAGAUGGAAAGUGUCGUCUGCGUGCCAAGAUUGGCUGCAGCAGCGCUCCUGUGGUGGCUGUGGAGCCGUGUACCUUCGGUGUCGGUGCAGGUGGGUAUGGAGGCACGCCUCACUGCGGGGCCAUCCUCGCAGAAGCUCAUCCUGUUCCGCCUCGUGCCAGCGGGUUGCUCCUUGUUGGCGCCAGCCAUGCCGGAGCUCAUCCCUUCAGGUGCGUCUGCUCUCUACCAGAUGCUCCUUCAGGAUGCAGGACCCACCAGCGUGCACCGCCUUCAUACCCCUCCCGGGUGGCCGUGUC